AUACCUCUCUGCGAGGAUCUCCGCGUCCGAGCGCGACCCUGGCGGCCUGGCCCCGAUCCGUCUCGCCUGGCCGCCCCCACGCCGACGGCUGACCAGCAGUCCAGCACGCGGCCCUCCGACGACCCCCAACUCGUCCCUCCCCGUCUCACCUGACCGCCGCCGCUCACCACUCACCUCGCCUCCCCAUCUUCUGCCAGCUCCCAUCCCGCCGCAAGAAACGCCUGUGCCGGCGUGUCGCCGCCGCCGGCGCCCUAGCCCCUAGGCCAGUGCCCAGGUCCCCAUCUUCUGGCCCUUCGCCGGCGACGACCCCCAAUAGGUCUGAAGGAUGAGGAAGGGACUGCAUCCUCAGAUGCAAUGGAUUUCAUAUGUGACGCAGAGUGGUAGGCUGAUCAAUAUCAUGAUGACCAAGGUGAACCAUACUGGCAAAGUGUACCACAUGAGGGCCAAGCGACAAAUGGCUCAAAGCCUCGGUCAGAUUGCAAAGUUCAAACGUCGAUAUGAGCAGGAAACAGAGGAAAGCAAAGACAAGUAGGAUGGUGUUGAGAAGGAGGAGCUGUAGCCUCUGUAACCUUAGUCAGUUCUGCUGACUGCAAAGUUCUCAGUUAAGGAACUUUGAUCACAUGAUUUUAUUUUAGAUCACAACAUCAUCUUUUGUUCCACUUCAGAAUUGAGCUGUACCCCCAUCUUGAGCAAGCUAUGGCACUUGUUGCACCUUAAAGCCCCAAGAAAAUAGUCUAUCGAUUGCUUUUUCCCUGACCUUUGAGUUUCAUGAUU